AUUGAACGCUGGCGGCAGGCCUAACACAUGCAAGUCGAGCGGAUGAAGGGAGCUUGCUCCUGGAUUCAGCGGCGGACGGGUGAGUAAUGCCUAGGAAUCUGCCUGGUAGUGGGGGAUAACGUCCGGAAACGGGCGCUAAUACCGCAUACGUCCUGAGGGAGAAAGUGGGGGAUCUUCGGACCUCACGCUAUCAGAUGAGCCUAGGUCGGAUUAGCUAGUUGGUGGGGUAAAGGCCUACCAAGGCGACGAUCCGUAACUGGUCUGAGAGGAUGAUCAGUCACACUGGAACAGAGACACGGUCCAGACUCCUACGGGAGGCAGCAGUGGGGAAUAUUGGACAAUGGGCGAAAGCCUGAUCCAGCCAUGCCGCGUGUGUGAAGAAGGUCUUCGGAUUGUAAAGCACUUUAAGUUGGGAGGAAGGGCAGUAAGUUAAUACCUUGCUGUUUUGACGUUACCAACAGAAUAAGCACCGGCUAACUUCGUG
rnacentral:rRNA from 1 species